AUGUGAAAUCCUUUGGCGCAUCAUUGAUCGUAGGUGGACAAACCAACUCCACCAACCGAUACAUGCCUUCGCCUACUUUUUGAACCCGAAAUUCUACUUCUCUGAUUCAUUUAGGGCUGACGACGAGGUCAUGGCAGGUGUUAUUACAUGCAUUGAUAAGAUGACACCUGAUCCUGAGUUGAGAGACAAGGUUCUUGAUGAGUUGGAGAUCUACAAAAGUGCAGAGGGGAGACUCUUCUCAUCACAACUAGCAAUUGAUAGGAGAGGAAAACAACAACCAGAUUUAUGGUGGGAGAAUUAUGGUGCUGGCACGCCUAAUCUUCAAAAG